UAAGGAAUAUUGGUCAAUGGACGCAAGUCUGAACCAGCCAUGCCGCGUGGAGGAUGAAGGUCCUCUGGAUUGUAAACUUCUUUUAUCUGGGAAGAAACCCAUGGAUUUUUCUGUGGUUGACGGUACCAGAUGAAUAAGCACCGGCUAACUCCGUGCCAGCAGCCGCGGUAAUACGGAGGGUGCAAGCGUUAUCCGGAUUCACUGGGUUUAAAGGGUGCGUAGGUGGGUUGGUAAGUCAGUGGUGAAAUCUCCGGGCUUAACCCGGAAACUGCCAUUGAUACUAUCAGUCUUGAAUACCGUGGAGGUCAGCGGAAUAUGUCAUGUAGCGGUGAAAUGCUUAGAUAUGACAUAGAACACCAAUUGCGAAGGCAGCUGGCUACACGAAUAUUGACACUGAGGCACGAAAGCGUGGGGAUCAAACAGGAUUAGAUACCCUGGUAGUCCACGCC
rnacentral:rRNA from 1 species